GGGAGGGGAAGGAGCGGCCAUUGCUGCCACUGCAAGAUCGGCGGAGCUCGGUCCGCUUUCCUUUUUGGUGCCAACGGAACGCUCUGAAGUGCGAAGUGGCAAGUCCCAGCAAUCCCACGGGCGUUGGGACGAUUUUCUUUCUUCCCCCUUUUUCCCACCUCUUCAGACACACAUCAAUCACAUAGACAGUUCUGAUCUAAAAUGGGACCAACUCCAGCAAAUAAUCAAUCCAUUUCUGUUCCAGUCUAAAAUCGGCUUCAGCAGCACAAACUCCCAAGUGGAACUCGCUCCUGCUUUGAGAAUAUACGUAGCGGCUAACCACGCUUGCCGCGUGGUAACUCAACCUUGGGAACUACCCUCAUAACCCUGCAUGGAUAAAACUCAGUACAGCCAGACUACCUUCGUAACCCCAUUAUUCAUUUCUGUAACUACGUACACCACUGUGAGGAAACCAAAACAGCAAGUGUACAAAAGGGCACUUCGGACAGAAACCAGGCAUGCUAAUUUGAACUAGCUAGGGUAUCAUUUAACUUUUAAAAAAACUAGGUACAGUAGUACAUUACACUGACAAAAACCUCGUAUCACAAUGAUUUGCGUUUUCGCGCGGUAAAAAAUGGACGUCCCUCGAAACCAUCACAUUUCCAGUCCAACACUUCUACUGAGAGCUAAAUGGGCGAUGAGAAGACGGCAGCAACUACAGCUCGUCCUUGUCGUACUGCUCGUGCUCCGGCUCCUCCGCCUUUGCUGACUCCUUCUCUUCCACCUCGGGCUCCUCCACCUCCUCUUCCUCCUCCACGGCCGCGUCGGGGCUCAGGUCCAAGCUCUUCUGCACCGACCGGUAGAUGCUCGAGGCAAAGUCCUUGG
rnacentral:lncRNA from 1 species